AACGAACGCUGGCGGCAGGCCUAACACAUGCAAGUCGAACGCCCGUAGCAAUACGGGAGUGGCAGACGGGUGAGUAACGCGUGGGAACGUGCCCUUCGGUUCGGAAUAACUCAGGGAAACUUGAGCUAAUACCGGAUACGUCCGUAAGGAGAAAGAUUUAUCGCCGAAGGAUCGGCCCGCGUCGGAUUAGCUAGUUGGUGAGGUAACGGCCCACCAAGGCGACGAUCCGUAGCUGGUCUGAGAGGANGAUCAGCCACACUGGGACGUGAGACACGGCCC
rnacentral:rRNA from 1 species